rnacentral:tRNA from 1 species
GGGAUUAUAGUUAACCAUAACAUUUAGUUUGCAUCUAGAAAGUAUUGAAAUAUCAAUUUUUCUC